UUGAAACACCCGUUCCUAUACGAUCACAGAAUUUAAGCAACGUCGAACCUUGUCAGUACCUAGAUGGGUGACCUCUUGGGAAUAACAGGUGUUGUAAG